rnacentral:rRNA from 1 species
UGUAUAGUAAAAGUCGUAACAAGGUUUCCGUAGGUGAACCUGC